AAAAAAAAAACAAAUGAAAAGAAUACAUUCAUGAGUUUUGAUUUUGAAGAGUGGUGUUAAUCUUUCUUACAUUUGACUCUCGCCGAUUUGUUCCAAUACCAAUUUCGGCAGGCCUGGAUAAUCAUAUGGAUGAUGUAUCUUGUUCAUCAAGAUUCAGCUCCUAUACUUUCCUCAUCAAGGAAAAAACUGUCUGAAUUGCAUUUGCUCAUUCUGUUAUCCAGUGUAAUGAAGAAGAAUGGGAGGUCUUUUUUUCUUCAAAUGCUUCACUUUGUGUAUAGGCCCCAGCCGGAAAAUCCAGUACUUCGCUAAUGAAACUUUGUCACUUAAAUGCGUUGAACUCAAGUUCUAUGUUUUCAUUGGCUUUUCAUUUACCUGAAAUCUCAUGUGGAAUUUAUGUUUGAAAAGUAAUCUUACUAGGCAGCGGAGGUCCCUUGGUUCUAUGUUUUCAUUGGCUUUUUCACGUUUCAUUUGAUAUAGUUUGACACAGACAACUCCUUCAGGCUUUUAGGUUAACAUAUCCAAUGUUUUACGAGGUAUUGGCUGAUGUUUUUUUAAAUGAAAACACACACACAUAUAUAUAGGUAUGUACUUUUUCCUCUGAUUAUUUUGGCCUCAGUUUGCUGUAUAUUUUCGCCAUGUAAUUGAGGCAUGCCUGAAACAGAUCCUUUGAUGUGUCAAAUACAAAUGUGGAGCAAUCGUUUCCAUGUAUCCAGUUUAAUGAUCUGCUUCCUGAUCCUGAAUACUCAUCUUCAUCGUUGUUAGUUUGAGAUUUCCUCUAACAGAAAAAGAUGUGAUAUACUUCAUUUGCGACUAUUUGUCACUAAAAGAUUGUGGGAGAUAUCAUUAAAUUAUUUGUGUGACCAGUUUGCUCUUUUUUGUUAUUUAGCAUUAUUGAAAAUGACCUGAAGAACUAAGCAGUGAAUUUGAGAGAAUUGCUACCCCCACAUCUCAGUUUCAUGAGUGAGUUAUUCCUUUGAAGAAUAACCAAAGCUUAAUUUCUUGUAACUGCAUAACAUAUUCGAUUGUUUCAGCAUGUAAUUAUUCUGAAUCACUGAUGCCCUGAAGAUCAGAGAAGGCCGGCCAAAUUACAUCCACUUUUGUUGCUUAUUUUGAUGGUGUUUUUUAUAGGAACUGGAUUUCUAUGAAAGUAGUAUUUGGAGCAUUGACUGAUUACUUUUUACUGUACAUUGACAUGGAGGGGUCUCAGUUGAGAUCCAUUGCAUAUUUUCCUUUUCAUUCAGCUUGCUA